GGCCCCUUAGCUCAGUUGGUUAGAGCACCCGACUCAUAAUCGGUAGGUCCCCAGUUCAAGUCUGGGAGGGGCCA
rnacentral:tRNA from 1 species